rnacentral:rRNA from 1 species
CCUACGGGGGACAGCAGUGAGGAAUAUUGGUCAAUGGACGAGAGUCUGAACCAGCCAAGUAGCGUGAAGGAUGACUGCCCUAUGGGUUGUAAACUUCUUUUAUAUGGGAAUAAAACGUUCCACGUGUGGGAUUUUGUAUGUACCAUAUGAAUAAGGAUCGGCUAACUCCGUGCCAGCAGCCGCGGUAAUACGGAGGAUCCGAGCGUUAUCCGGAUUUAUUGGGUUUAAAGGGAGCGUAGGUGGAUUGUUAAGUCAGGUGUGAAAGUUUGCGGCUCAACCGUAAAAUUGCAGUUGAAACUGGCAGUCUUGAGUACAGUAGAGGUGGGCGGAAUUCGUGGUGUAGCGGUGAAAUGCUUAGAUAUCACGAAGAACUCCGAUUGCGAAGGCAGUUCACUGGACUGCAACUGACACUGAGGCUCGAAAGUGUGGGUAUCAAACAGGAUUAGAUGCCCGAGUAGUC